rnacentral:rRNA from 1 species
UACGAAGGGGGCUAGCGUUGCUCGGAAUCACUGGGCGUAAAGGGUGCGUAGGCGGGUCUUUUAAGUCAGGGGUGAAAUCCUGGAGCUCAACUCCAGAACUGCCUUUGAUACUGAGGAUCUUGAGUUCGGGAGAGGUGAGUGGAACUGCGAGUGUAGAGGUGAAAUUUCGUAGAUAUUCGCAGGAACACCAGUGGCGAAGGCGGCUCACUGGCCCGAUACUGACGCUGAGGCACGAAAGCGUGGGGAGCAAACAGG